rnacentral:rRNA from 1 species
GGCAGGCCUAACACAUGCAAGUCGAACGAGACCUUCGGGUCUAGUGGCGGACGGGUUAGUAACGCGUGGGAACGUGCCUUUCACUACGGAAUAGUCCCGGGAAACUGGGUUUAAUACCGUAUACGCCCUUCGGGGGAAAGAAUUUCGGUGAAAGAUCGGCCCGCGUUAGAUUAGGUAGUUGGUGGGGUAAUGGCCUACCAAGCCUACGAUCUAUAGCUGGUUUUAGAGGAUGAUCAGCAACACUGGGACUGAGACACGGCCCAGACUCCUACGGGAGGCAGCAGUGGGGAAUCUUGGACAAUGGGCGCAAGCCUGAUCCAGCCAUGCCGCGUGAGUGAUGAAGGCCUUAGGGUCGUAAAGCUCUUUCGCCAGGGAUGAUAAUGACAGUACCUGGUAAAGAAACCCCGGCUAACUCCGUGCCAGCAGCCGCGGUAAUACGGAGGGGGUUAGCGUUGUUCGGAAUUACUGGGCGUAAAGCGCACGUAGGCGGAUUGGAAAGUUGGGGGUGAAAUCCCAGGGCUCAACCCUGGAACUGCCUCCAAAACUACCAGUCUAGAGUUCGAGAGAGGUGAGUGGAAUUCCGAGUGUAGAGGUGAAAUUCGUAGAUAUUCGGAGGAACACCAGUGGCGAAGGCGGCUCACUGGCUCGAUACUGACGCUGAGGUGCGAAAGUGUGGGGAGCAAACAGGAUUAGAUACCCUGGUAGUCCACACCGUAAACGAUGAAUGCCAGUCGUCGGAUAGCAUGCUAUUCGGUGACACACCUAACGGAUUAAGCAUCC